rnacentral:tRNA from 1 species
CAUUAGAUACCUAAAUGCAAGUCUUGGUCUCUUAAACCAAUUAUAAUAGUGUAGCACCUAUUUCUAAUGA